UACGUAGGGUGCAAGCGUUAAUCGGAAUUACUGGGCGUAAAGCGUGCGCAGGCGGUUUUGUAAGUUUGUCGUGAAAUCCCCGGGCUCAACCUGGGAAUGGCGAUGAAGACUGCAAGGCUAGAAUCUGGCAGAGGGGGGGGUAGAAUUCCACGUGUAGCAGUGAAAUGCGUAGAGAUGUGGAGGAACACCGAUGGCGAAGGCAGCCCCCUGGGUCAAGAU
rnacentral:rRNA from 1 species